rnacentral:rRNA from 1 species
UGGGGAAUAUUGGGCAAUGGGCGCAAGCCUGAUCCAGCCAUGCCGCGUGUGUGAAGAAGGCCUUCGGGUUGUAAAGCACUUUUGUCCGGAAAGAAAUCCUUGGCUCUAAUACAGUCGGGGGAUGACGGUACCGGAAGAAUAAGCACCGGCUAACUACGUGCCAGCAGCCGCGGUAAUACGAAGGGUGCAAGCGUUAAUCGGAAUUACUGGGCGUAAAGCGUGCGUAGGCGGUUUCUUAAGUCUGCUGUGAAAUCCCCCGGGCUCAACCUGGGAAUGGCAGUGGAUACUGGGAGGCUAGAGUGUGUCAGAGGGUGGUGGAAUUCCCGGUGUAGCGGUGAAAUGCGUAGAGAUCGGGAGGAACAUCAGUGGCGAAGGCGGCCACCUGGGACAACACUGACGCUGAGGCACGAAAGCGUGGGGAGCAAAACAGGAUUAGAUACCCUGGUAGUCCACGCCCUAAACGAUGCGAACUGGAUGUUGGUCUCAACUCGGAGAUCAGUGUCGAAGCUAACGCGUUAAGUUCGCCGCCUGGGGAGUACGGUCGCAAGACUGAAACUUAAAUGAAUUGAC